UACGGAGGGGGCUAGCGUUGUUCGGAAUUACUGGGCGUAAAGCGCACGUAGGCGGCUUUGUAAGUUAGAGGUGAAAGCCCAGGGCUUAACCCUGGAAUUGCCUUUAAGACUGCAUCGCUAGAAAUUGUGGAGAUGGUAAGUGGAAUUCCGAGUGUAGAGGUGAAAUUCGUAGAUAUUCGGAAGAACACCAGUGGCGAAGGC
rnacentral:rRNA from 1 species